GCUGCAGCGCUGGCCCCUGUUUCACUUGUUUUUUAAUGACUAUUGUCAUUACACAGAAUCUCAGAAAGACUAAUAAAAGAAACAUUUGAAAGCAUUUAAUGGACAAGACGAAUGAAUUGGAAUUACUCCCUCUGCUAUUCCCUUAUUAUUACAUGCAUAAGGUUUAUAUAUGGAGCAGCUAGAACUCAGUUGUGACAGCCUAUUUUUGCCGAAAACAAUGGGAAGAAUUUGAGGAAGUGGGAAGAAAGAUCUUUGAUGAAAGUAGGGAAUGUAAAUUCAACUGGUAUAGGCUCAGUCAUUUCUUGCAUCCAUUUAAAUAUAAUAUUUGUCUAUACUGCAUAUUUUGUCCCUUUUCAAAUGAUCAUUUCACUCUAUUUUCUUUCUUGUUUUACAGAAAUAAAAGUCAAGAGGUGAUAAUUCUAAUUAUUCUUAUAAACUUAACUCAACUUUUAGUGGUCCUGGAGGCAGGAAAGUUGGUGCAGUAGGAGAAUUUAAACAUGGUGACACUCAGAAAGGGAAUUUACACCGGAUGACAUGACACAACAAAAUACUCCCAACUGUUUGGGAUUAAGCAGAAUGAAAAGAAAAUUAUAGGAGGCAGCUGACAGCUAGAGGUGCCCAAAGGUAGACAGAAGUAAG